rnacentral:rRNA from 1 species
AGCGAACGCUGGCGGCAGGCCUAACACAUGCAAGUCGAACGAACUCUUCGGGGUUAGUGGCGGACGGGUGAGUAACACGUGGGAACGUGCCUUUUGGUUCGGAAUAACUCAGGGAAACUUGUGCUAAUACCGAAUGUGCCCUUCGGGGGAAAGAUUUAUCGCCAUUAGAGCGGCCCGCGUCUGAUUAGCUAGUUGGUGAGGUAACGGCUCACCAAGGCGACGAUCAGUAGCUGGUCUGAGAGGAUGACCAGCCACACUGGGACUGAGACACGGCCCAGGCUCCUACGGGAGGCAGCAGUGGGGAAUCUUGCGCAAUGGGCGAAAGCCUGACGCAGCCAUGCCGCGUGAAUGAUGAAGGUCUUAGGAUUGUAAAAUUCUUUCACCGGGGGCGAUAAUGACGGUACCCGGAGAAGAAGCCCCGGCUAACUUCGUG